rnacentral:rRNA from 1 species
CGGGUGCACUGAUCCAGCCGGGCCUUUCCCUCUGUGGAACCCCAUGGCCUUCACUGGCUGUGGCGGGGAAACAGGACUUUUACUUUGAAAAAAUUAGAGUGCUCCAGGCAGGCCUAUGCUCGAAUACAUUAGCAUGGAAUAAUAGAAUAGGACGUGUGGUUCUAUUUUGUUGGUUUCUAGGACCGCCGUAAUGAUUAAUAGGGACAGUCGGGGGCAUCAGUAUUCAAUUGUCAGAGGUGAAAUUCUUGGAUCUAUUGAAGACUAACUACUGCGAAAGCAUUUGCCAAGGAUGUUUUCAUUGAUAAGGAACGAAAGUUAGGGGAUCGAAGACGAUCAGAUACCGUCGUAGUCUUAACUAUAAACUAUGCCGACUAGGGAUCGGACGAUGUUAUUCUUUGACGCGUUCGGCACCUUUCGAGAAAUCAAAGUGCUUGGGCUCCAGGGGGAGUAUGGUCGCAAGGCUGAAACUUAAAGAAAUUGACGGAAGGGCACCACCAGGGGUGGAACCUGCGGCUUAAUUUGACUCAACACGGGGAAACUCACCAGGUCCAGACACAGUGAGGAUUGACAGAUUGAGAGCUCUUUCUUGAUUCUGUGGGUGGUGGUGCAUGGCCGUUCUUAGUUGGUGGAGUGAUUUGUCUGCUUAAUUGCGAUAACGAACGAGACCUUAACCUGCUAAAUAGCCCGUACUGCUUUGGCAGUUCGGCCGGCUUCUUAGAGGGACUAUCGG